UUACACAUGCAAGUCGAGCGGCAGCGCGGGGGCAACCCUGGCGGCGAGCGGCGAACGGGUGAGUAAUACAUCGGAACGUGUCCAGUAGUGGGGGAUAACCAGUCGAAAGAUUGGCUAAUACCGCAUACGAUCUACGGAUGAAAGCGGGGGACCGCAAGGCCUCGCGCUAUUGGAGCGGCCGAUGUCGGAUUAGCUUGUUGGCGGGGUAAAAGCCCACCAAGGCGACGAUCCGUAGCUGGUCUGAGAGGACGACCAGCCGCACUGGAACUGAGACACGGUCCAGACUCCUACGGGAGGCAGCAGUGGGGAAUUUUGGACAAUGGGGGCAACCCUGAUCCAGCCAUGCCGCGUGAGUGAAGAAGGCCUUCGGGUUGUAAAGCUCUUUCGGCGGGGACGAAACGGUCCGUGACAACACCACGGACUAAUGACGGUACUCGCAGAAGAAGCACCGGCUAACUACGUGCCAGCAGCCGCGGUAAUACGUAGGGUGCAGGCGUUAAUCGGAAUUACUGGGCGUAAAGCGUGCGCAGGCGGCCUCUUAAGUCAGAUGUGAAAUCCCCGGGCUUAACCUGGGAACUGCGUUUGAAACUGGGAGGCUUGAGUGUGGAAGAGGGGGGUGGAAUUCCAGGUGUAGCAAUGAAAUGCGUAGAGAUCUGGAGGAACACCGAUGGCGAAGGCAGCCCCCUGGGCUGACACUGACGCUCAUGCACGAAAGCGUGGGGAGCAAACAGGAUUAGAUACCCUGGUAGUCCACGCCCUAAACGAUGUCAACUGGUUGUCGGGGAAGUUAUUCCUUGGUAACGAAGCUAACGCGUGAAGUUGACCGCCUGGGGAGUACGGCCGCGAGGUUAAAACUCAAAGGAAUUGACGGGGACCCGCACAAGCGGUGGAUUAUGUGGAUUAAUUCGAUGCAACGCGAAAA
rnacentral:rRNA from 1 species